AGCGAACGCUGGCGGCAGGCCUAACACAUGCAAGUCGAACGGAUCCUUCGGGAUUAGUGGCGGACGGGUGAGUAACACGUGGGAACGUGCCCUUUGGUUCGGAACAACUCAGGGAAACUUGAGCUAAUACCGGAUGUGCCCUUCGGGGGAAAGAUUUAUCGCCCUUGGAGCGGCCCGCGUCUGAUUAGCUAGUUGGUGAGGUAAAGGCUCACCAAGGCGACGAUCAGUAGCUGGUCUGAGAGGAUGAUCAGCCACAUUGGAACUGUGCAACGGCCCAAACUCCUACGGGAGGCAGCAGUGGGGAAUCUUGCGCAAUGGGCGAAAGCCUGACGCAGCCAUGCCGCGUGAAGGAUGAAGGUCUUAGGAUUGUAAAAUUCUUUCACCGGGGACGAUAAUGACGGUACCCGGAGAAGAAGCCCCGGCUAACUUCGUGCCAGCCGCCGCAGUAAGAC
rnacentral:rRNA from 1 species